rnacentral:rRNA from 1 species
CAUUGUGCUUGCACAGAUGACGACCGGCGCACGGGUGCGUAACGCGUAUAGAACCUACCUUUNACAGAGGGAUAGCCUUUAGAAAUGAAGAUUAAUACCUCAUAGUAUUGCGAUUUGGCAUCAGGAAGUAAUUAAAGAUUUAUCGGUAAAAGAUGGCUAUGCGUCCUAUUAGUUAGUUGGUAAGGUCCGGCUUACCAAGACAUCGAUAGGUAGGGGUCCUGAGAGGGAGAUCCCCCACACUGGUACUGAGACACGGACCAGACUCCUACGGGAGGCAGCAGUGAGGAAUAUUGGACAAUGGAGGAGACUCUGAUCCAGCCAUGCCGCGUGCAGGAAGACUGCCCUAUGGGUUGUAAACUGCUUUUAUACAGGAAGAAACACUAGUACGUGUACUAGCUUGACGGUACUGUAAGAAUAAGGACCGGCUAACUCCGUGC